rnacentral:rRNA from 1 species
GUGGGGAAUUUUGGACAAUGGGCGCAAGCCUGAUCCAGCCAUUCCGCGUGCAGGAUGAAGGCCUUCGGGUUGUAAACUGCUUUUGUACGGAACGAAACGGUCCUGGUUAAUACCUGGGGCUAAUGACGGUACCGUAAGAAUAAGCACCGGCUAACUACGUGCCAGCAGCCGCGGUAAUACGUAGGGUGCGAGCGUUAAUCGGAAUUACUGGGCGUAAAGCGUGCGCAGGCGGUGCUGUAAGACAGGCGUGAAAUCCCCGGGCUCAACCUGGGAAUUGCGCUUGUGACUGCAGUGCUGGAGUACGGCAGAGGGGGAUGGAAUUCCGCGUGUAGCAGUGAAAUGCGUAGAUAUGCGGAGGAACACCGAUGGCGAAGGCAGUCCCCUGGGCCUGUACUGACGCUCAUGCACGAAAGCGUGGGGAGCAAACAGGAUUAGAUACCCCAGUAGUCC